rnacentral:rRNA from 1 species
UUAGCUGUAAACGAUGUAGACUUGGCGUCGGUGGGGUAAAAGCCAUCGGUGCCGUAGCUAACGCGAUAAGUCUACCGCCUGGGGACUACGGCCGCAAGGUUAAAACUCAAAGCAAUUGACGGGGGCCCGCACAAGCAGCGGAGCGUGUGGUUUAAUUCGAUGCUACACGAAGAACCUUACCCGGGUUUGACAUGACGACGAACGAACGCGAAAGCGCGAGGGCCCUUCGGGGCGUCGCCACAGGUGCUGCAUGGCUGUCGUCAGCUUGUGUCGUGAGAUGUCCGGUUAAGUCCGGUAACGAGCGCAACCCUUGCCAUAUGUUACAAGUGUCAUAUGGGACUGCCGGUAUAAAGCCG